CCCUUAGAUGUUCUGGGCCGCACGCGCGCUACACUGACGAAGUCAGCGAGCAUGUCCUACGCCGACAGGUGCGGGGAAUCUUGUCAAACUUCGUCGUGAUGGGGAUUGAUUAUUGAAAUUCUUGAUCAUCAACGAGGAAUUCCUAGUAAGCGCAAGUCAGCAGCUUGCGUUGAUUACGUCCCUGCCCUUUGUACACACCGCCCGUCGCUACUACCGAUUGAAUGGUUUAGUGAGAUCUUCGGAUUGGCGCCACUGCGGCUCAGCAAUGGGCUCGGUGUAUGCCGAAAAGUUGAUCAAACUUUAUCAUUUAGAGGAAGUAAAAGUCGUAACA
rnacentral:rRNA from 1 species